ensembl:lncRNA
CUCUUCAUGCCCAGCCCACAACAGCUCUUAGAGUACACUGACAUAUAUUGUUUGUGCAGUACUGUGUAUUGCAUUGCUGAAGCUAUAACCUCAUCAACAUCAAAGACUGCCCUGAAACACAGUCAACGGCGGGACUGGAGCUUCUGGAACAUGUUCCUCUUCUACACCCUACUUCUACACUUUUCUCUGGUCACCCAUUCAGAGAAACAAGGGGAUUUUGGAACCCUUACUGCCUGCAUCACUGUAGAGAAGAUCCUCAGGUUGGAAUGCCGGUAUCCACCAUGUCCUGGGUCACCUUCCUUUCAGUGUGAAUUCCGUACCACAGAGGCCCUGUUGGGGAGCUCUGAAAAUCCCUAUGAGAAGAGAAAUGACUCAGUCUUUAGUAAAACAGAAAAGGGUGACUGUCACCUUCUACUUACAAGCCAUGUUCAUGUCAAUGAAACAAAGGAAUAUACCUGUACUCUGAAACGGAAAGGGAAUAAGCAUUCAAAGACAAUCGUCAUAAACUACAAGAUCCCCCUCACGAAACAAAAACUCAAAGUUUGCUCUACAGUGGGGUUGAUGUUGCACCAGGCUCCCACUCUGCUGUGGCCUGUCCUCCUAGCCACGUUACUAUGGAAGAUCCUGUCCUGAACAAUAUGUGCUCACAAGCUGAAGAAAAGGUCUGUCUAUAAAACUGUACACUAAAUGGUAUGACAAUUUGAAAUAUUAAUGUUUUCAUAACCUGAAUAAAAAAUUAUUUUUGAUUUGAAAAAUGUCAGACAUUUUUGAAAUCCAAUAAGAUUUCAUAAAACAUCGAAUGUAAACAACUGCGUUUCUAUUUGAUUGCAUAAUUUCUUUCUUUAUUAAAAUAGGAUUUUGUUUUUUUAUAUACCAUAAUCCUAUAGAUCCAUACAAACCAUAAUAUUUAGUUUUGUCUCUAUCAGAUAACUGUUAGGGUUCGUAAACAUUUUUUUUUAUUGGAGUUGCACAUGUAUUAAAAAGAUAUAUCUUGUUAGAUUUGCACAUGCAAAUCGACUACCUAAUGUGUUUUCAGAUAGAAAUGUGGCCUAGUCCAAUGUGAUCUGCUGUUGUAUGAGAAUACUUCCUCUCGCCUCUGUCUUGCACUAUCUCUC